rnacentral:rRNA from 1 species
UAGGGAAUCUUCGGCAAUGGGGGGAACCCUGACCGAGCAACGCCGCGUGAGUGAAGAAGGUUUUCGGAUCGUAAAGCUCUGUUGUUAAGGAAGAACGAGUGUGAGAAUGGAAAGUUCAUGCUGUGACGGUACUUAACCAGAAAGGGACGGCUAACUACGUGCCAGCAGCCGCGGUAAUACGUAGGUCCCGAGCGUUGUCCGGAUUUAUUGGGCGUAAAGCGAGCGCAGGCGGUUAGAAAAGUCUGAAGUGAAAGGCAGUGGCUGAACCAUGGUAGGGUUUGGAAACUGGUUAACUUGAGUGCAGAAGGGGAGAGUGGAAUUCCAUGUGUGGCGGUGAAAUGCGUGGAUAUAUGGAGGAACACCGGUGGCGAAGGCGGCUCUCUGGUCUGUAACUGACGCUGAGGCUCGAAAGCGUAGGGAGCGAACAGG